UACGUAGGUGGCAAGCGUUAUCCGGAAUUAUUGGGCGUAAAGAGCGCGCAGGUGGUUGAUUAAGUCUGAUGUGAAAGCCCACGGCUUAACCGUGGAGGGUCAUUGGAAACUGGUCGACUUGAGUGCAGAAGAGGGAAGUGGAAUUCCAUGUGUAGCGGUGAAAUGCGUAGAGAUAUGGAGGAACACCAGUGGCGAAGGCGUCUUCCUGGUCUGUAACUGACACUGAGGCGCGAAAGCGUGGGGAGCAAACAGGAUUAGAUA
rnacentral:rRNA from 1 species